rnacentral:rRNA from 1 species
UGAGUACGAGACGCUACGGCGUCGAAGCAGUCUAUGUCAUACUUCCAAGAAAAGCUUGCACUGUCAUAAACAAAUAAUGCCUGUACCAUAACCGACACAGGUGGGUAGGUAGAGUAUACUAAGGGGCGCGAGAUAACUCUCUCUAAGGAACUCGGCAAAAUGACUCCGUAACUUCGGGAGAAGGAGUGCCUUAUUCUUAAGGUUGCAAUAACAAGAUCCAAGCAACUGUUUAUCAAAAACACAGGUCUCCGCUAAGUCGUAAGACGAUGUAUGGGGGCUGACGCCUGCCCAGUGCCAGAAGGUUAAAGAAGUUGGUUAGCAUUCGCGAAGCUGAUAACUGAAGCCCUGGUGAACGGCGGCCGUAACGAUAACGGUCCUAAGGUAGCGAAAUUCCUUGUCGGGUAAGUUCCGACCCGCACGAAAGGCGUAAUGAUUUGGAUACUGUCUCGGAGAGGGGCUCGGUGAGAUAGACUUGUCUGUGAAGAUGCGGACUACCUGCACCUGGACAGAAAGACCCUAUGAAGCUUUACUGUAACUUGAAAUUGAAAUUGGACUUUAUUUGCGCAGUAUAGGUGGGAGGCGUUGAGAAUAUUCUUGCGGGAAUAUUGGAGCCAUCAGUGAGAUACCACUCUUGUAAUGUUAGAUUUCUAACUUUGAAUCAUUAUCUGGUCAAAGGACAGUUUCAGGCGGGCAGUUUGACUGGGGCGGUCGCCUCCUAAAUGGUAACGGAGGCGCACAAAGGUUUCCUCUGAACGGGUAGAAAUCGUAUCUAGAGUGUAAAGGCAUAAGGAAGCUUGACUGUGAGACCUACAAGUCGAGCAGGGACGAAAGUCGGUCUUAGUGAUCUGACGGUGCUGAGUGGAAAGGCCGUCACUCAACGGAUAAAAGUUACUCUAAGGAUAACAGGCUGAUCUCCCCCAAGAGUUCACAUCGACGGGGAGGUUUGGCACCUCGAUGUCGGCUCAUCGCAUCCUGGGGCGGUAGUACGUCCCAAGGGUUGGGCUGUUCGCCCAUGAAAGCGGUACGCGAGCUGGGUUCAGAACGUCGUGAGACAGUUCGGUCCAUAUCCGGUGUAGGCGUUAGAAUAUUGAGAGGAGCCUUCUUUAGUACGAGAGGACCGAGAAGGACAUACCUCUGGUGUACCAGUUAUCGUGCCAACGGUAAACGCUGGGUAGCUAUGUAUGGAGAGGAUAACCGCUGAAAGCAUCUAAGUGGGAAGCCCACCUCAAGAUAAGUAUUCU